UUUAUCAUCUCCAUACGAAAUUUUUUGUAGACCAGAGAUUUGUUUAAUUUUUUUUAUUUAAAAUCACUCUGAAUGUUCCAUUGGGUUUCUUCACCAAGAAUAGAGGGGAAUAAAACCCUUUGCUCCUCUCUGUUUUGGGAACCGGGCAAACUACCCCUUUGUCCAAGAAGGAGUAAAUUUCUAACUCCAAAGCAUUUCUUCUUUCUGGAUUUUUGGGACAAGCUGUCUGGGCUAAAAAAUCUGGUGGAUGAGAAAGGA